rfam:Moniliophthora roreri MCA 2997 sctg_0199_0001, whole genome shotgun sequence.
ACACCGUUGGUGAAGUGGUUAUCAUGCUUGCCUUCCAUUUUAAUAACUGUGAUGUAAUGUGAGCAAGCGGCUCGGGUUCGAUUCCCGAACGGUGUA